CACGUAGGGGGCAAGCGUUGUCCGGAUUUAUUGGGCGUAAAGAGCUCGUAGGCGGCUCAGUAAGUCAGGUGUGAAACCUCCAGGCUCAACCUGGAGACGCCACCUGAUACUGCUGUGGCUAGAGUCCGGUAGGGGAGCGUGGAAUUCCUGGUGUAGCGGUGAAAUGCGCAGAUAUCAGGAAGAACACCCGUGGCGAAAGCGGCUCUCUGGGACGGUACUGACGCUGAGACGCGAAAGCGUGGGGAGCGAACAGG
rnacentral:rRNA from 1 species